rnacentral:rRNA from 1 species
UACGUAGGGUGCAAGCGUUGUCCGGAUUUAUUGGGCGUAAAGAGCUCGUAGGCGGUUUGGCAAGUCAGGUGUGAAAACUCCAGGCUCAACCUGGAGAUGCCACCUGAUACUGCUAUGACUUGAGUCUGGUAGGGGAGCACGGAAUUCCUGGUGUAGCGGUGAAAUGCGCAGAUAUCAGGAGGAACACCAGUGGCAAAGGCGACUACCUGGCCUGUUCUUGACGCUGAGGCGCGAAAGCUAGGGGAGCAAACGGG